rnacentral:rRNA from 1 species
GAUGAACGCUAGCGGCAGGCUUAACACAUGCAAGUCGAGGGGUAACAGGGAAGAGCUUGCUUUUCUGCUGACGACCGGCGCACGGGUGCGUAACGCGUAUAGAACCUACCUUUUACAGGGGAAUAGCCCAGAGAAAUUUGGAUUAAUGCCCCAUAGUAUUAUUGAAUGGCAUCAUUUAAUAAUUAAACAUUUAUGGGUAAAAGAUGGCUAUGCGUUCUAUUAGCUAGAUGGUAAGGUAACGGCUUACCAUGGCAACGAUAGAUAGGGGUCCUGAGAGGGAGAUCCCCCACACUGGUACUGAGACACGGACCAGACUCCUACGGGAGGCAGCAGUGAGGAAUAUUGGACAAUGGAGGCAACUCUGAUCCAGCCAUGCCGCGUGCAGGAAGACGGUCCUAUGGAUUGUAAACUGCUUUUAUAUAGGAAGAAACCUUUCCACGUGUGGAAAGCUGACGGUACUAUAAGAAUAAGCACCGGCUAACUCCGUGCCAGCAGCCGCGGUAAUACGGAGGGUGCAAGCGUUAUCCGGAAUCAUUGGGUUUAAAGGGUCCGUAGGCGGACUAAUAAGUCAGGGGUGAAAUCCAACAGCUUAACUGUUGAACUGCCUUUGAUACUGUUAGUCUUGAGUUAUAUGGAAGUAGAUAGAAUAUGUAGUGUAG